rnacentral:rRNA from 1 species
AGGGGAAACGAUAAAGAAAGCUUGCUUUUUCUAGGCGUCGACCGGCGCACGGGUGAGUAACGCGUAUCCAACCUGCCCACCACUUGGGGAUAACCUUGCGAAAGUAAGACUAAUACCCAAUGAUAUCUCUAGAAGACAUCUGAAAGAGAUUAAAGAUUUAUCGGUGAUGGAUGGGGAUGCGUCUGAUUAGCUUGUUGGCGGGGUAACGGCCCACCAAGGCUACGAUCAGUAGGGGUUCUGAGAGGAAGGUCCCCCACAUUGGAACUGAGACACGGUCCAAACUCCUACGGGAGGCAGCAGUGAGGAAUAUUGGUCAAUGGACGAGAGUCUGAACCAGCCAAGUAGCGUGCAGGAUGACGGCCCUAUGGGUUGUAAACUGCUUUUAUAAGGGAAUAAAGUGAGCCUCGUGAGGCUUUUUGCAUGUACCUUAUGAAUAAGGACCGGCUAAUUCCGUGCCAGCAGCCGCGGUAAUACGGAAGGUCCGGGCGUUAUCCGGAUUUAUUGGGUUUAAAGGGAGCGUASGCCGGAGAUUAAGCGUGUUGUGAAAUGUAGACGCUCAACGUCUGCACUGCAGCGCGAACUGGUUUCCUUGAGUACGCACAAAGUGGGCGGAAUUCGUGGUGUAGCGGUGAAAUGCUUAGAUAUCACGAAGAACUCCGAUUGCGAAGGCAGCUCACUGGAGCGCAACUGACGCUGAAGCUCGAAAGUGCGGGUAUCGAACAGGAUUAGAUACCCUGGUAGUCCGCACGGUAAACGAUGGAUGCCCGCUGUUGGUCUGAAUAGGU